rnacentral:lncRNA from 1 species
CUCCAGAAGAUAGAGCAGAAGUGAGCAAGAGAAAGAGGGCCUCUCUGAGGCUCCUUGAAAACGGAAGCCCAUUGGAAAAGUGAAGAGAAUCUCCAAUAAAGGCACACCAGACAACUGUGGGAUGCUGUACCUUCUUGCUGGCCAAGACAUCCAAGUCACAGCAGAUUUGGGCAUGAGUGGAAAAAGGUUGUAUGAUGUCAUCCACAAACCCUCUCACUGUCGUAGGAAAAGGGUUGGCAAACUUCUCAACACACUCUUCCUGGGCAGCUUCCACAUCCUCAUGCCCUUUGAAGAUGAUCUCCACAGUACCGUUUGCUCCCAUGACUGCAAUUUCUGCUGUGAGCCAGGCAUUGUUGAUGUCACCAAGAAGGUUUCCAUUGGGUGCUUUCCUGAGAAAGUUUCCUGGUGAUAGAUCACUUCUAGGUGCUGUGUAAUUUAGUCAAGAUAAUCUAGGUAAGCACAGGGCUUAAUUAUGCAUUGCUUGAUAAUUAUA